UACGGGGGGGGCAAGCGUUGUUCGGAAUUACUGGGCGUAAAGCGUGCGCAGGCGGUGAUGUAAGACAGGUGUGAAAUCCCCGGGCUUAACCUGGGAACUGCAUUUGUGACUGCAUCGCUGGAGUGCGGCAGAGGGGGAUGGAAUUCCGCGUGUAGCAGUGAAAUGCGUAGAUAUGCGGAGGAACACCGAUGGCGAAGGCAAUCCCCUGGGCCUGCACUGACGCUCAUGCACGAAAGCGUGGGGAGCAAACAGG
rnacentral:rRNA from 1 species